GGGGGGGGGGGGGGGGGGGGUGGGGGCGGGGGGGGCGAACGGGGGGUGGGUGCUGGGGGGGGGUGCUCGAGUGGCGAGCGGGGGGGGAGCACGUGAUUCACCUGUCCGGGGCUGUGUGAUGCCUUCGGGAAGCGGUGGCUAAGACCGGCGAGGAGCUGCGGCUGCCGUGUGGGGGGUGGAAUGCGUCGGCGGGUGGGGAUGGACUCGGGGCUUAUCAGGUUGUUGGUGGGGUAGUGGCUUAACAAGGCUUUGCAGGGUAGCCGGCCUGAGAGGGUGACCGGCCACAUUGGGACUGAGGUACGGCCCAGACUCCUACGGGAGGCAGCAGGGGGGAAUAUUGCACAAUGGGCGGAAGCCUGAUGCAGCAACGCCGCGUGCGGGAUGACGGCCUUCGGGUUGUAAACCGCGUUCGCCUGUGACGAAGCGUGAGUGACGGUAAUGGGUAAAGAAGCACCGGCUAACUACGUG
rnacentral:rRNA from 1 species